CAGGAUGAACGCUAGCGGCAGGCUUAACACAUGCAAGUCGAGGGGCAGCGCGAGGUAGCAAUACUUUGGCGGCGACCGGCGGAAGGGUGCGUAACGCGUGAGCAACAUGCCCGUAUGAGGGGGAUAAGCGAUGGAAACGUCGUCUAAUACCCCGUAACACAGGAGAUCGCAUGAUCACCUGUUGAAAGAUUUAUCGCAUACGGAUUGGCUCGCGUGACAUUAGCUAGUCGGCGGGGUAACGGCCCACCGAGGCGACGAUGUCUAGGGGUUCUGAGAGGAAGGUCCCCCACACUGGAACUGAGACACGGUCCAGACUCCUACGGGAGGCAGCAGUGAGGAAUAUUGGUCAAUGGGCGGAAGCCUGAACCAGCCAUGCCGCGUGAAGGAAUAAGGCCCUAUGGGUCGUAAACUUCUUUUGACGGGGAGCAAUAAGGGUCACGUGUGGCCCGAUGAGAGUACUCGUCGAAUAAGCAUCGGCUAACUCCGUGCCAGCCGCCGC
rnacentral:rRNA from 1 species